rnacentral:rRNA from 1 species
GAUGAACGCUGGCGGCGUGCCUAAUACAUGCAAGUCGAGCGAAUGGAUUAAGAGCUUGCUCUUAUGAAGUUAGCGGCGGACGGGUGAGUAACACGUGGGUAACCUGCCCAUAAGACUGGGAUAACUCCGGGAAACCGGGGCUAAUACCGGAUAACAUUUUGAACCGCAUAGUUCGAAAUUGAAAGGCGGCUUCGGCUGUCACUUAUGGAUGGACCCGCGUCGCAUUAGCUAGUUGGUGAGGUAACGGCUCACCAAGGCAACGAUGCGUAGCCGACCUGAGAGGGUGCUCGGCCACACUGGGACUGAGACACGGCCCAGACUCCUACGGGAGGCAGCAGUAGGGAAUCUUCCGCAAUGGACGAAAGUCUGACGGAGCAACGCCGCGUGAGUGAUGAAGGCUUUCGGGUCGUAAAACUCUGUUGUUAGGGAAGAACAAGUGCUAGUUGGAUAAGCUGGCACCUUGACGGUACCUAACCAGAAAGCCACGGCUAACUACGUGCCAGCAGCCGCUGUAA